rnacentral:misc_RNA from 1 species
GAUGAAAACGUAGCGAAAUGCGAUAAGUAAUGUGAAUUGCAGAAUUCAGUGAAUCAUCGAAUCUUUGAACGCACAUUGCGCCCCUUGGUAUUCCGAGGGGCAUGCCUGUUCGAGCGUCAUUAUAACCCCUCAAGCUCAGCUUGGUGUUGGGGCCUGCCGCACGGGCAGCCCUUAAAAUCAGUGGCGGUGCCAUCUGGCUCUAAGCGUAGUAAUUCUUCUCGCUAUAGAGUUCCGGUGGAUGCUUGCCAUUAACCCCCAAUUUUCUAUGGUUGACCUCGGAUCAGGUAGGGAUACCCGCUGAACUUAAGCAUAUCAAUAAGCGGAGGA